GAAACCCUACCCGAGCCCAACGCCUCACUCCUGGGCGACCGCCCGCAAUCUUCAGGCUGGGAGCCCUAGGUCCUCGGGGGCGCGGCCUUGGGAGGCAGCCAAGGGCGGGCUUCCGGCAGCGUUCUCCCUGGCUGGGCUUGGCUGCCGCACCCCGGUUCAGCGCCGGAGCCUGGAGCCGGGAAUCCGGAAUCCGGAAGCAAUCCCGGCAGGAGCGCUGGUAGCCGAGAACGGCGGCUGCGGGGACGUCGGAAUCCGGGAGCACCAGGAGCCGGGGGCGUGCAGAGUGGGCGGGAUUCCCUGGCAGGAUGACUGUGGGGAUCUUUGCAAAUUGUACCUUCUGUUUGAAAGUCAAGCACUUACCUCGUCAACAGAAGAAAAAGCUACAAAAUGACAUUAAGGAGAAUGGUGGAAAAUUUUCCUUUUUAUUAAAUCCUCAGUGCACACAUAUAAUCUUAGAUAAUGCUGAUGUUCUGAGCCAGUAUCAACUGAACUCUAUCCAAAAGAACCAUAUCCAUAUAACAAACCCAGAUUUUAUAUGGGAAUCUAUCAAAGAAAGGAGACUCUUGGACGUAACGAAUUAUGAUCCUCAUAAGUCACCAGACAUCACACCACCUCCUUGUCAAAAGGCAAGAAGUUCUGAAAUGACAACAGAUGAUCUGUCCCAGGACAACUCCACUGAGAAGGAAAACGUUGUGGAACUCACAGAGUCUUAUACAGAGAAUGCUGAAAUUCCUCAUUUUCCACAAGAUUUCGAAGUUGCAAAAUAUAACACCUUGGAAAAAGUUGGGGCGGAGGGUGGUAAGGCAGUGGCGGUGGUGGAGCUGCAGUGCUCCCGGGAGGAGCCCGGGGACGCCGCCUUCCUGAUAUCCGCACACUUCCUCUCGGCCACCGGCGUCAAGACUAGAAGACACUUCUCUGUAAAGAAAACCUCUGCAGACGCAAGUGAGCACUAUGAAAAUUACAUUGAAGAACUGAAGAAACAAGGAUUUCUGCUAAGGGAAUAUUUUACACCCGAAGCAACCCAGUUGGCAUCUGAAAAACUGCAGGCGUUGCUUUUGGAGGAGGUAAUGAAUUCAAGCACUCUGAGCAAAGAGGUGAGCGAUUUGGUGGAGAUGGUCUGGGCGGAAGCUCUCGGCCACCUGGAGCACACACUUCUCAAGCCUGCGAACAGGAUUAGUCUCAAUGACGUGAGCAAGGCAGAGGGAGUUCUCCUUCUAGUAAAGGCAGCCCUGAAAAAUGGAGAAACAGAAGAACAAUUGCAAAAUAUGAUGACCGAGUUCUACAGAUUAAUACCUCACAGAGGCACAGCAACCGAAGAAGUGAACCUGAGACUAUUAGCUAAGAAAGAGGACCUCUGCCAGCUAAUAAGAGACAUGGUUAAUGUCUGUGAAACUAAUCUGUCCAGACCCAACCCGCCUUCUCUUGCCAAAUACCGAGCUUUGAGAUGCAAAAUUGAGCAUGUUGAACAGAACACUGAAGAAUUUUUCAGAGUUAGAAAAGAGGUUUUACAGAAUAAUCACAGUACAGGUCCAGUAGACAUCUUGCAGAUAUUUAGAGUUGGCAGAGUGAAUGAAGCCACAGAGUUUUUGAGCCAGCUUGGCAAUGUGAAGCCCUUACUGCAUGGAUCUCCCGUACAAAGCUUUGUAGGGAUCCUAUCCCGUGGGUUGCUUUUACCCAAAGUAGUUGAAGAUCGUGGCACAAAGAGAACAGACACUGGAAAUCUUGGGAGUGGGAUAUAUUUCAGCGAUUCACUCAGUACGGGUAUUAAGUACUCCCACCCGGGAGAGACCGAUGGCACCAGGCUCCUGGCUGUCUGUGACGUAGCCCUUGGAAAGUGUGCGGACUUACACAGAAAAGACUUCUCCUUGUCGGAAGCACCACCAGGUUAUGACAGUGUCCAUGGGGUUCGAGCAACAGCCACUGUCACCACGGACUUCGAGGAUGAUGAAUUUGUUGUGUAUAAAACCAAUCAGAUUAAAUUGAAAUAUAUCAUUAAAUUUUGCCUACCCGGAGAUGAAAUAAAGGACUUUCAUCCUUGUAAUACUACUGAAUUAGAAGAAUCCAGACCUGAGUUUUCAAAUUUUUCAAAGGUUGAAGAUUAUCAGUUACAAGAUGCCAAACCUUUCGGCAACAUCACGUCUGGCCUUCAGGAUUUCUCUGGCAAUUCAGUUCCUCUUGAGGAGGUUCACAUCAAAGGAAGAAUAAUAGACUUUGUAGCCCAGGUCAUUGUUUUUCAGACAUAUACAAAUCAAAGUUCUGUGCCCAUUGAGGCAAAAUAUAUUUUUCCCUUGGAUGAUAAGGCAGCUGUCUGUGGUUUUGAAGCAUUCAUCAAUGGGAAACACAUAGUAGGAGAGGUUAAAGAGAAGGAAGCAGCCCGCCGUGAAUACCGAGAAGCCAUCAGUCAAGGCCAUGGCGCUUACUUGAUGGACCAGGAUGCACCCGAUGUUUUUACUGUUAGUGUCGGAAAUCUACCCCCUAAGGCUAAGGUCCUGAUCAAAAUUACCUACAUCAUGGAACUCAGCAUCCAAGGCACCAGGGCCGUCUUCUUCAUGCCCGCCACCGUAGCACCCUGGCAACAGGACAGAGCUUUGAAUGAAAACAGUCAGGAUACAGUAGAGAAGAUUUAUGUAAAGGAAAUAGGAACAAAGCAAAGCUUCUCUUUGUGUAUGUCCAUUGAGAUGCCAUAUGUGAUUGAAUUCAUUUCUAGUGAUACACAUGAACUGAAACAAAAGAGUACAGACUGCAAAGCUGUAAUUAGCACCAUGGACGGUAGCUCCUUAGACAGCAAUGGAUUCUCCCUUCAUGUCGGUUUAUCUGAUGCACAUCUCCCAAGAAUGUGGGUCGAAAAACAUCCAGAAAAAGAAAGUGAGGCCUGCAUGCUUGUUUUUCAACCAGACCUCGAUAUCACACUCCCUGACCUAGCUGAGAACAAUGAAGUGAUUAUUUGUCUUGAUUGCUCCGUUUCCAUGGAGGGUGCGACAUUCUUGCAAGCCAAGCAAAUUGCCUUAUAUGCACUGUCCUUGGUGGGAAAGAAGCAAAAGAUAAACAUUGUCAAGUUUGGCACAGGUUACAAGGAAUUAUUUUCAUAUCCUAAGUACAUCACAAGCAACAAUGUGCCAACAGAGUUCAUUAUGUCUGCUACACCUACCAUGGGAAAUACAGACUUCUGGAAAACACUCCGGUAUUUAAAUUUACUGUACCCUUCUCAAGGGUUACGGAACAUUCUCCUUAUAUCUGAUGGGCACCUCCAGAAUGAGAGUCUGACAUUGCAGCUUGUGAAAAGAAAUGUCCAACACACCAGGCUGUUCUCCUGUGGUAUUGGUUCUACAGCAAAUCGUCAUAUCUUAAGGACUUUGUCCCAGUACGGUGCUGGAGUAUUUGAGUAUUUUAACUCAAAAUCCAAACACAGUUGGAAAAAACAGAUAGAAGACCAGAUGACCCGGUUGCAUUCUCCAAGUUGUCACUCUGUCUCCGUCAAGUGGCAGCAGCUAAGUGCAGAUGCACCUGAACCCCUGCAGGCCCCAGCCCAGGUGCAGUCCUUGUUCCUCAACCAUCGACUCCUUGUCUACGGAUUUAUUCCUCAUUGCACACAGGCAACUCUGUGUGCAUUAAUUCAAGAGAAACAAUUUUCUACGAUGGUAUCAACUACUGAACUUCAGAAGACAACUGGAACUAUGAUACACAAGCUGACAGCGCGAGCUCUGAUCCGAGAUUAUGAAGAUGGCAUUCUCCAUGAAAAUGAAACGAAUCAUGAGAUGAAGAAGCAAAUGUUAAAAUCUCUGAUUAUUAAACUCAGUAAAGAAAACUCUCUCAUAACACAAUUUACAAGCUUUGUGGCAGUUGAGAAAAGGGAUGGUAAGGAGGCACCUUCUCCUAAUAUUCCAAAUAUUAUGGAACUUAUUGCCAAAGAGGAUGUAGAUUUCCUGCCAUACAUGAGCUGGCAGGAGGAGCAACCAGAUGCCAGUGUGGUACAGCCUCUUGCAGCAUUCUCUGCACGGAAUGAAGAGCUGCGACAUCAUUUGACUAACAGAAAACUUGGAUCACCUGAGCUGGAAGUUUUUGAAGAUUUUGAAAAGGGUUGCUUCAGUUCCCCACUAUCAGAAAAAUCUUUAACACUCAAUUUCGCAUGGGAAGAUGUGGAAAUGCCAUUGGAUCUAAGUCAGAUGGAUUCAUUUAAGCAAACAGGAACUGAACCAUUAUAUAGAAGUGACCCUUUCCUAAAACAGGGUGCUUGCAGUAUUUCUGCUGCCCAGAGGUUAGCCUGUUUGGAAGUCGAGCCCGUAAUUGGUUCUCGUUUCCACUGUCCUUCCCACUUACAUCGUUCAAAGGUUUGUCUUGCUUCUCCUGCUAGUUCUGAACAGCCUGGUCCAUCUGAGAAUGACCAAGACCUUCAAACUGACAGUUGUAGUGAUUCUUCCCUUGAGUCAUCUACCGCUUUCAGACUGUCUGUCCUACCUUUGAGCUCCUUUGCUUGUGUUCCUUAUUCAGGUGACUCAUGUAACUUUGGACAGGUUGAUCUACCUUACAGUUAUCAAGGUCAUAAGACUGACAAUUGUGCUAGCAAUUCUCUUGAGUUGGACUCUCCCCCACAGCCGAAUACUUUUUUCUCUCCUCCUAGAGUUCCUUCCUCUGGUCUAUCCAGAGAGUUUGACUUUCAUUACCCUUCUGGUUCUCCUCUUUAUUUUCAAAAUUCCUCAGUUCAUUCGAGCACUGCUUACAAGCCACAGAUAGAUCUGUUUGCUAACACAGAAUUGGAGGCUUCUUCAGCAAAUGUUUGUGCCAUAAUUUCAUCAUCUACUUCAAGUAAUGGGCAUUUUUCUGAAACAAAAAAUGUUGAAACACCAAGAUUUCAGAAACGUUGUUUGGCAAAAUCUGUUCUAACAGGAAGUGCCUUUACUGCAAGCUUUCAGGCACAAAAAGAUGAACAAAGCUGGAUGAAUUUUGUGCCUUGGACCAAACUCUUCAGUCUACAAACUGAGGAUGGCUUCUGGAAACUUACAUCAGAACUGGGAUUUAUUUUAAACCUUAAUACAAAUAUUUUAAACAGCUUUCUUGAACAAAAAGGCAUUAGAUCUCUAGGUAAGUCACCAUUUUUCUAUUAAUUAAAUGGCAUGCUCUUAACUGUUGUAAAUUUUGUUGUAAACUAGUAUACUAAUAUGAUAAUUAUGUAAGUUACAUAUGAGUGGAAUUAUAUUUGUUAACCAUCAAAUGAAACAAGAGGACCAGUUUCUAGUCAUAUCUUUACCACUAAUUAGGGUAUUACCUGUGUAAGUUAAUUAGCAUAAGUAACAAUAACUUCUGUUUUAAAAAUCCAAACUUUCAGUAGCUUAACACAAAGAUUAUUUUCUUGCACAUAUCACAGUCAAAUAGUAGUCAGCAGGAAAAUUCCACUCCAAGUUUUCAUUUACAGACCCAGGCUCCUUCCAUAUUGUGGCUCUACCAUUAUCAAAAAUGUCUUUAAAAUUACUCUAGUGAAAAGGAAAGAAGAAAAUACUGCUCUGGCAUCACCUACCUGGUAGAUAGUAAGAGAAAGACAAACUGGGGCAGGAACUAGUCACAGAGCCCCUCCCAGAUACAAGAGGGCUGGGAAAUACACUUUAGCUUGGUGUCCAGGAAGAGAAAACAGCUUUGAUAAGUGUCUAGUCAGUCUUUGCCAGAGCAAGUUCAAUCUCUGUGGACCUGUUUCUUGUCAUGAUAAUGAAGGGGAUGGUUAAGCAAGUGGUUUGAAGGUCAAAUGCUAGUCUUAGGUUAAGACAUUUUUUUAAAUAAAAACACAUUAUUAAACAGUAGUCAGUAUUCAUUGAACAGCAGUGUCUAACUACCCUGCCAUCCCCUCAAAAAAGUCAGGGUUUUCAUACUCCAGGCUUAUUCCAGAGUUAGCAGGUCUUUGUUUGUUUGACUUGCACUACACCAAAAAGGAAAGGUGAAAAUUUGCAUGAGGAGAAUUCUACUUCCUGGAAUGAUAAAGGAGCUUGAAUCUGACUAAAUCUCUCACCAGUAAGAUUUAGUAAGCUCAUUGGGACCUCAUCAAAGUAAAAUCAGAUAAAGGGUUAGUAUCCAAAAUCUACAAAGAACUUAUCAAACUCAACACCCAAAAAACAAAUAAUCCAGUGAAGAAAUGGGCAAAAGAGGUGAAUAGACACUUCUCCAAAGAAGACAUCCAGAUGGCAAACCAACACAUGAAAAAAUGCUCAACAUCAUUCAUCAUCAGGGAAAUACAAAUCGAAACCACAAUGAGAUACCACCUCACCCUUCUCAGAAUGGCUAACAUGGACAACUCAGGCAACAACAUAUAUUGGCAAGGAUGCAGAGAAAGAGGAUCUCUUUUGCAUUGUUGGUGGCAAUGCAAGCUGGUGUAGCCACUCUGGAAAACAGUAUGGAGGUUCCUCAAAAAACUAAAAAUAGAACUACCCUACAACCUAGCAAUUGCACUACUAGGCAUUUAUCCACAGGAUACAGGUGUGCUGUUUCGAAGGGACACAUGCACCCCCAUGUUUAUAGCAGCACUAUCAACAAUAGCCAAAGUAUGGAAAGAGCCCAAAUGUCCAUCAAUGGAUGAAUGGAUAAAGAAGAUGUGGUAUAUAUAUACAAUGGAGUAUUACCCGGCAAUCAAAAAGAAUGAAAUUUGUCAUUUGCAACUACGUGGAAGGAACUGGAGGGUAUUAUACUAAGUGAAAUUAGUCAGUCAGAGAAAGACAAAAAUCAUAUGACUUCACUCAUAUGAGGACUUUAAGAGACAAAACAGAUGAACGUAAGGGAAGGGAAACAAAAAUAAUAUAAAAACAGAGAGGGGGACAAAACCGAAGAGACUCUUAAAUACGGAGAACAAACUGAGGGUUAUUGGAGGGGUUGUGGGAGAGGGGAUGGGCUAAAUGGGUAAGGGGCAUUAAGGAAUCUACUCCUGAAAUCAUUGCUUCACUAUAUGCUAAUUUGGAUGUAAAUUUUAAAAAAAUAAAAAAUAAAAUUAAAAAAUUUAAAAAAAAACACAAAGAUUUAAAAAAAUCUUAAAAAAAUAUUUAGUAAGCUCAGAUAAAGUAUUUUAAAACCACUCUUUUAAGGCCUGGAAUGCAAUAAAAAAAAAAACAGGCAGAAACUAGAAGGAUCAAAAUCCCUGAAAAAAGGAAGAAAAUGAGGUGAGUUCUACAUUUACCUAACUAUUCACCCAAAGGUACUUCUCAGUUCAUGAGGCACAUGAGAGGUUAGAACUGAAAUGGAAAGUCUUAAUGGGAUAAUGACAUAGGAGUCAGAAUUCAAGGCUGCCAGAGUGGCUGGAAAAUAAGAGUGAAACUCCUAAAAAGGAAGGAGCCACAGAGCCCAGAGCUCUGAAAUCUGCAUACAGAUUCCCUCAGAUUGUUGGCUCUCCCCUAACCUGUACAUACACGUGACUUCAAGGAAUCCAGAAAAAAAGCAACAGCUGGAGAGAAAAAGAGCAGAGAUUCCAGCUGCUGCCAGGUGUUGGGGAGACAGAGUUUGGUGUUUGAAUUAUACCAAAUUAGAAUUGACAAACAUCUUGGGGUGCCUGCGUGGCUCAGUCGGUUAAGCAUCCCACUUUGGCUCAGGUCAUGAUCUUGUGGUUCCUGAGUUCAAGCCUUGUGUUGGGCUCUGUGCUGACAGCUCAGAGCCUGGAGCCUGCUUUGGAUUCUGUGUCUCCCUCUCUGCCCCUCCCCGACUCACGUGUGUGCGCUCUCUCUCAAAAAUAAAUAAGCAUUAAAAAAAAUUUUUAACAACAAAAAAAUAACUUGUAAACAUCUCAAGUUUUCUACUAAAACCCAAAAAGGGUAAAAAGGACCAUAAAUCAAGGAAAAAACAAAAUUGGCCCCUUAACAAAGCCUAAAACAAAGCUUUCACAGGAUACACCAGAACAUAACUCAACACUCUUUUGAAUAAGAUAACAUACUUCAGGGGCUCCACAACCUUCAAUGUACAGUAUAGAAUGAAAAUUUAAUAACAUACAAAGAAGCAGGAAAAUAUGACUUAUAAUCUAGGGGGAAAUAGCCUAUUGAUGAUGACCUCCAGGUGCCCCAGAUGUUGGAAUUAGCAGAUAAGGAUUUUAAAACUGCUAUUAUAAAUACAGUAAAGGUUUACCAGAAAAUAAUGGGUGAACAAAUGGGAGAAUCUCAGCAAAUAGAUGGAAACUCUAAGAAUCAAAUGAAAAUUCUAGAACUGGAAAAUAAAAUUAUCUUCAAUGGAAAGGUCAUUGGAUGGGCUUAACUGCAGAAUGAACAAAACAGAAAAAAGUAUCAGGUAUAAAAGGAAGCGAGCGUCUCCUGGACCUGAUCGCCACAUUUCUGGUACUGCAGUUUCUUCGUACCAAGUUGGAACAAAAGG